rnacentral:rRNA from 1 species
UACGUAGGUGGCAAGCGUUUGUCCGGAAUUAUUGGGCGUAAAGCGCGCGCAGGCGGCUUCUUAAGUCUGAUGUGAAAUCUCGGGGCUCAACCCGAGCGGCCAUUGGAAACUGGGAGCUUGAGUACAGAAGAGGAGAGUGGAAUUCUACGUGUAGCGGUGAAAUGCGUAGAUAAUGUGGAGGAACACCAGUGGCGAAGGCGACCCUCUGGUCUGUAACUGACGCUGAGGCGCGAAAGCGUGGGGAGCAAACAGG